rfam:Glycine soja cultivar W05 scaffold4667_7, whole genome shotgun sequence.
UUCUUACUGGAUGAUGACUGUCAUGUGUCAUGUGUCAUGUUCUGAUUGGUCAAUAAAAAUAACAAUGCAUUUCAUCUUUCAUGGAGUUGACAUCCAAUUGGAACAUGAUACAUGACAGUCAUCAUCC